ACCUGGUUGAUUCUGCCAGUAGUCAUAUGCUUGUCUCAAAGAUUAAGCCAUGCAUGUCUAAGUAUAAGCAAUUACAAAGCGAAACUGCGAAUGGCUCAUUAUAUAAGUUAUCGUUUAUUUGAUAGUACCUUACUACAUGGAUAACCGUGGUAAUUCUA
rnacentral:rRNA from 2 species